GAGCGCAAGUUGUUGGCGACGCCGCCAUUUUGGCCUGUGUCUGAUUCCCGAGUGUGUUUCUCUGUUUCCCGCCUCCCCCUCACCUCUCUGUCUGUCUAUCGGCAGGGUCGGAGGUAGAGGUAGGGGUAGGGGGUCGGGGUGGGCUGAAUAAAAAGUCCCCACCCCCGCCCCUUCCCCCCCCUCCCUGCGACAGGAGAAUGUCCGCCUUCUCUGAGUCAGCUCUGGAAAAGAAGCUGGCGGAGCUGAGCAACUCGCAGCAGAGCGUGCAGACGCUGUCCUUGUGGCUCAUCCACCACCGCAAGCACUCCAAGACCAUCGUGCUGGUGUGGCACCGGGAGCUCAAGAAAGCUAAACCAAGUAGAAAGCUGACCUUUCUUUAUCUGGCAAAUGAUGUGAUCCAGAACAGUAAGAAAAAGGGACCAGAAUUUACCAAGGACUUUGCUCCAGUUUUGGUGGAUGCAUUUUCACAUGUUUCAAGUGAAUCUGAUGAGAAUUGUAAGAAGCACUUGGAAAGAGUGUUAGCUAUUUGGCAAGAGAGGAUGGUUUAUGAAAACAACUUCAUCGAUCAGCUUAAGCAAAUUCUUUUAACAGAGAAAAAGGCCAAGAAACGUACCUUUGAACAGAUACAGGAGGAAGAUGAUGAUGACUAUCUUUCUAACAGUACUCCCAAAGAACCACCAGAGACUGAGGAUCUAAUUAAGUCAUUGCAAGAGCUGGAAAAUGCAGCUUCUGGUGAUGCAGCCGUUCGACAGAAGAUUGCAUCAUUGCCACCAGAAGUUCAAGAUGUUUCUUUGUUAGAUAAAAUAACAGACAAAGAGUCUGCAGACAGACUUUCAAAAACUGUGGAUGAGGCCUGCAUGCUCUUGGCAGACUACAAUGGCAGACUGGCUGCAGAACUGGAAGAUCGCAAACAGUUGGCACGUAUGCUGGCUGAUUACAUCCGUAGUCAAAACGAAAUCCUAGCAGAGAAGGAACGUAAACUGGAAGAGUACAAGCACAAACUGGCCAAGGUCACUCAAGUGCGAAAAGAGCUCAAGUCCCACAUCCAGAGCUUACCAGAUCUUUCUCAGCUUCCAAAUGUGACUGGUGGCUUGGCCCCAUUGCCCUCUGCAGGGGAUCUUUUCUCCACUGAUUGAUCUGGUUGACUGUUCUGCUGAAAAGACUUGUUAAAAGGACAGGAAGGAAGGAGUGCACAAUUUACAGAGCCCCUCCCUACCCCCCACAUUGUUGUAAAAGAUACUGGCAGUGGAUAUGCCAUACAAUGUCAGUCUUCAAUCACUUGGACAUCCUUUUGAUUGAAGAAAUGAAAUGGAGAUGCUGGAGAGAGGUGGUGAGCAGGGGAAAUAAUUGGAAGAAUUGGGCCUGAGGAGAAGCACACCUCCUUCUCUCCAAGUCCACAAUUCAUUGUUGUGUGAGAAGAUUCACGGCCAACUUUCUCGCAUCACCAGCAGUCAAAACUUUUAAGGGAUCAAACAGUGACCACUUGGAGAGCCACAACUUGACAUGUCCUGAUCACCUACCCCCGGUGGGUGAGAAGGAGCUAGUUUAGGAAACCCUGGCACCUGCUGUGCUGCGUUAUGGGAAUACAGCCUCCAGUUGGAGGCAAUCUAGGGGCAAUCGAAGACUCAGAUGACAGGCCAGGGGAAGGCCAUGUAAAGACACCUCAUGGCCUUGUCCAAUAUGUCUUGUGUUAAGGCCCCAUCAAUAAUAAACCUGGGGAGCCAAAGGCUAGCUGGAAAAAGAUGCUGUUUAGAGGUAACAGCCCAGUGGUAUUAUCACUAGCCUAUUCCUCCAGGGAUCCAGGUUCAAAUCAUGUCAUGGCAAAUGUACUUGGAAAAGGUUCAAGACAUUGAACCUCCUGGUGAUUAAGAAGGCAGCAGCAAGAUUGGCUGUGGGACAGAAAGUAGGGUGUAGUGGUGAACAGUUCCUUUACAGAAAGGAAGCAAAUAUAUAUUGGUGUAGGGAAUGUUAUUAGAUUCAUUGUUCUUUUUGAUCUGUAUGAAUGACAUGACCUUGUUAAAAGGAAAGACACAUGACAGAAGAAGACUUUUGCGAGUUUGUUAUUGGUUUGCUGCUGAUCUAUUAGAGAAAUAAGAAGUGAGGCAUUUUGAAGUGGAUCGUGAGGAGAGGUAUUAUAAACUAAAUGGGAUGUUUCUAAUUUGCAAAAAAAAUGACAGACCCAAGAUUCAGAAAUUUUUGAAAGUGGGAGAUCAAGUUGCUGAGGUUAUUCUGGGAUGGUAGUUGAUUAAAUUAGAUUCCCUACAGUGUGGAAACAGGUCAUUUGGCCCAACAAAUCCACACUGACCUUCUGAAGAGUAACCCAUCCCCCUACAUUUAUCUAAUGCACCUAAACUAGGGCAGUUUAGCAUGGCCAAUUUACCUCACCUACACACCUUUGGUAACGUUAUAAUUAAGUAACAUUAGCAAAUGAUACGUGCAAGAGGAUAGAGGUUGUGAAAACCCUUCAGAGACUGGUUAAGGCUGAACUGGAGAGUUGUAUCCAAUUUCUGGGCAUCGAACUUGAGGAAUGAUAUUGGGGCCUUAGAGAGGGUACAUAGGAGACUUACUAGAAUGAUUUCAGUAGUGAGAGACAGAACAAUGUAUAGAAACUGGGAUGAAGGAGAGAUGUGGGGUGUUUGAAAUAAUGAGAGAUCGUUUGAAGUUCUCCUUUCUUUAUUUCAUUUUACUCUCUAUAUUUUUGGUCAUCCAGGAAUCUCUAGUUUUGGAUUUCUCAUAGGAAUGUCUGAACCGAGACUGUCUCUCCUUCAAAAGCAUUGCUGAUCUAUUUGCCAUUUUACCUGCUGACUACCUGAUCUAAAUCUCUUAUUGAAAGUAACCCCCUCCAAUUGAGUAUCUUCCCCUUUAAUGUUCCUUAUUCAUUUUAUCAACUAUUUUAUUUAAAGGAAAUUGAAUAACAUUCUUGCUGUCCCGUGGAGCAGAAGGUAGCAGGAUCUUCCUUUAGUUCAGCUGUUGCUACACCUUAUAUCUGUCAAGAAAGGUAGGGAGUUAAAAUCUGGACCUGUGUUCUAAUUUACGCUAUUUUCCCAAAGUGCUCUGCAUCUCAUCUUAGCUAAAAUAAUUGGCUAUAUCAAAGAUUCUCAUUACUUUAAAGACAUCACCUCAAUAUACUCACCUCUCCAAACUUUAAAAAAAGAUUUUUGAUGAUUAAAAACCUGCAUUUAUGAUUAAGCAAAUCAGCUGAUAGGUCAUUGUCCAUUAUGGAACCCUCUGAGUCAUACAGCUGUCACGGUGUAAUGUUCUGUAUCCUGUUAAUGCUGACUCACGUGUCAAUAAACAUCCCAACUUCUCUAAUUUGUCUAA